UUUUUCUCUGGACUCUAAGCUGGUUGAUGCCACCAGGCCUUGGGAAAAAGCCUGCCUUCUGAUAGGAUUGCUAUUGAGUAGCAAAAAUUCUUGGAUUCUGAUAACAUCUUUCAUGCAGAAACUCAAAGCAUCUCCCAAAUUAUAAGCCCAUUCUUUUACACUGUUCUACACUCUCACACUCUAGGAACAACUCAUUUCAAUCUUGGGACAUUGACCAGAAUUCAGGGAAACUAGCAUGAUCCUUCCAGUCUGACGUUUCAUUCCAUCUACUGUCCAAAGCUGUGUCUACAAGGCAUCACCUAUGAGACAAUAAAACAAACCCUCUGAAAUCAGGAAAUUUGCCAGAAGAUGGCGAGCUGGGAAGAAAUAAAACCAGGAUUUGAGCCAGGACUGACUGCAAAGUGCGGUGCUAGAGGACCUUCUGAGUCAAGCCCUGGGACUUCUUCACCUACAGAAAGCAGAACUUGGCUUCAAGCUGACCUCACCCCACCUGCAAGUCUUAAUACACUUGGACAUGCCAUGAAAUGACAAGAAAUAUUCAGAUUUUAGAUAUGUAAAAAUAUUAAAACUAUGCCUCUU
rnacentral:lncRNA from 1 species